AACGAACGCUGGCGGCAGGCCUAACACAUGCAAGUCGAGCGAGGACUUCGGUCCUAGCGGCGGACGGGUGAGGAACGCGUGGGAACGUGCCCUUUGCUUCGGAAUAGCCCUGGGAAACUGGGAGUAAUACCGGAUGAGCUCUUCGGGGGAAAGAUUUAUCGGCGAAGGAUCGGCCCGCGUUGGACUAGGUUGUUGGUGGUGUAAUAGCCUACCAAGCCGACGAUACCUAGCGGGUUUGAGAGGAUGAUCCGCCACACCGGGGCUGGGAAGCGGUCCAGAAUCCUACGGGAGGGGGCAGAGGGGGAUCUUGGACAAUCGCGGAAACCAUGAUCGAGCCAUGGCGCGUGAGCGAUGAAGGCCUUAGAGUUGUAAAGCUCUUUCAGCUGGGAAGAUAAUGACGGUACCAGCAGAAGAAGCCCCGGCUAACUCCGUG
rnacentral:rRNA from 1 species